AUUGAACGCUGGCGGCAGGCCUAACACAUGCAAGUCGAGCGGUUGAGGUAGCUUGCUACCGAAGCAGCGGCGAACGGGUGAGUAAUACAUGGGAAUCUGCCUGGUAGUGGGGGACAACGUUUCGAAAGGAACGCUAAUACCGCAUACGCCCUACGGGGGAAAGGGGGGGAUCUUCGGACCUCUCGCUAUCAGAUGAGCCCAUGCCGGAUUAGCUAGUUGGGGGGGUAAAGGCCCACCAAGGCGACGAUCCGUAGCUGGUCUGAGAGGAUGAUCAGCCACACUGGAACUGAGACACGGUCCAGACUCCUACGGGAGGCAGCAGUGGGGAAUAUUGGACAAUGGGGGCAACCCUGAUCCAGCCGUGCCGCGUGUGUGAUGAAGGCCUUAGGGUUGUAAAGCACUUUCAGUGGGGAGAAAGGUGAUUCACCUAAUACGUGAGUCAAUUGUUGCUACCCACAGAAGAAGCACCGGCUAACUCCGUGCCAGCAGCCGCCGUAAGAC
rnacentral:rRNA from 1 species